rnacentral:rRNA from 1 species
UACGGGGGAGCAAGCGUUGUUCGGAUUACUGGGCGUAAAGGGCGCGUAGGCGGUCAGCACAAGUCAGUUGUGAAAUCUCCGGGCUUAACUCGGAAAGGUCAACUGAUACUGUGCGACUAGAGUGCGGAAGGGGCAACUGGAAUUCUCGGUGUAGCGGUGAAAUGCGUAGAGAUCCGGAGGAACACCGAAGGCGAAGGCAGUGUCCUGGCGCGUAACUGACGCUGAGGUGCGAAAGCCAGGGGAGCGAACGGGG